AGCGCGGGCGGGUCUCAGCCUCUCGAAGCUCCGUGUUCGGUCGUUGCCUUCUAGCGCCGCUAGCCGCAGGCAGCCCGAGAUGUUUCUUCCCCGCCACCCCUCUCCCUCGUGGGCUCGUGGCUUCGUCUCCGGUCGUUCCCUGGUUCCGUGCCGGUAGCGCGACAGCUUUCCUCCUCUCUACUCGUUUCCUUCCCUCAUCAUCUCCGUGGCAUCUCCAUCGGCGAUGAAGCUGUGUUCCAACGCCGCACAGGUUGGAUUCGAUUCGAAGAAUCCCGACAACUAGCGUUUCUACUCGCCGGCGCGCAGUUGGGGUACUCCAUCUUCCGCGACAGUCUAGACGACGGGCAAGGAGAUGGCGGCUGGGAGCGACACAAAGGAAGAGUGGAGAAAUCACCCCGCGGCAGAGGUGCCUGGUCACUGACUCACUGGUGCGCCAUCAAUUAGUCCUCACGCGUGCAGGCAAGCGCUGCACCCGGUUGAGUUGAUGUCAACACAGUGUAUUUAUGCGCAACAAGUGCAAGCUAGCCUGAUUAUGUGCUAGUAGUGCUACAUCAAAGUCCAGCUCCAAAUCGCUUAUCAGAGGAUCAGCCUCCUCCGUCUUGCCUUCUCGGACACCAUAGCAAGUGCUGCUUACCGAUUGUUUGCCCUGCCUCUACUGCCGGCACCAUCCAUCGCCAAGUUGGCGAGCAAUUGGAAGCGCAAACAUAGACGCAUCGUCUCUGCUGCUUGCAAAGUAUUCGACAAAAUAUCCAGCGCCUUACACAGCAAGCUGCACAGUCCUGUUCACGCAAUACCAUGCAUCAAGUGUUGUCAAUUCCAUGUUUGUACUUGCGAGAAAAUUAAACCGCGAUGUGAUUAACUCUAUUUGUGCAGUUUACAAUGGUGUGAAACGGCAACUGCAAGCCGACACUAGAGCCAAGAGGGACAGCCUGUUGACUAGCACUUCGACCGCAAUAUCAUGAGCUGCCAGGCAACAAGGAAAGCAGGCUACUGCAGUUCACUGUAAUUCAGCAAUCUAAGACACCAAUGACAUUACCAUGAGCAUGUCACUGUACCAAAUGAGCCGGUACUGUAUCUGUGGAGUCACCUAGCAUCUAGGAGAACGAAGGCGGCAAGCUUGGGAGAAACAUGUUGAAAUUCUCAAGAACACGUAAUUCUACCUUCCGCGAUCGUAAGAUCCUGGACAGAAUCCUCAACCAUGAGUAAUUAAAUCUUUGCAAAGGAUCAGGGGAGUCCUCUGUUAGAUGCUCCUUAAACUUCCAGCAAAAUGAGAUUCUUCUGGAUAAUAGAGGUUUUCUCUAUCAAUAGCUAUAUAAUAAUGCAGACACUAGAAAGAUGUUGGAGUUCAUGUGCAGAAGAAAAGAGCAAAAGUUGGACCGACAAUUUGGGAGCCUCAUGCUAAGAUAACAGAACAAAUAUGCGACUCCAUCGAAGUGCCAGUCUCAAGUAGGGAAUACCUUGGAUGUUUAAGUUUAUGGUGUGGUGUUAAUUUGUCGUCUACAUAUCAUAUUUCAUAUGACAGCUAAUAGAUUUUUUUUCACAAAGGAUAAUAAAGGGUGAUAAGUGGAAACAGAAUUUCAACUUAUCACCCUUUAAUAUCCUGUGUAAAAAUAAAAUAUUUAUGUACUCAAGUUGGAUUUAUAAUGUUGAUGACCUACUUUUCAUCUUUGGUA